rnacentral:tRNA from 1 species
CGGGAUGUGGCUUAGCCUGGUCUAGAGCACUCCCUUGGGGUGGGAGAGAUCGCUGGUUCGAAUCCAGUCAUCCCGA